AAAGGCUCUGCUGUGCUAUUGAUUGACCUUCUACGCGAGGGUAUGCUUAAAGAGGGGCUUGCGCCACAUUAUUUAGUUGGUGAGGUAAAGGCUUACCAAGAUUAUGAUGUGUAGCUGGACUGAGAGGUUGAACAGCCACAUUGGGACUGAGACACGGCCCAAACUCCUACGGGAGGCAGCAGUAGGGAAUUUUCGGCAAUGGAGGAAACUCUGACCGAGCGACGCCGCGUGAACGAUGAAGUAUUUCGGUAUGUAAAGUUCUUUUAUUGAAGAAGAAAAAAUAGUGGAAAAACUAUCUUGACGUUAUUCAAUGAAUAAGCCCCGGCUAACUAUGUGCCAGCAGCCGCGGUAAGACAUAGGGGGCGAGCGUUAUCCGGAAUUAUUGGGCGUAAAGGGUGCGUAGGCGGUUAGAUAAGUCUAUAAUUUAAUUUCAGUGCUUAACGCUGUCUUGUUAUAGAAACUGUCUUGACUAGAGUGAGAUAGAGGCAAGCGGAAUUCCAUGUGUAGCGGUAAAAUGUGUAAAUAUAUGGAGGAACACCAGAAGCGUAGGCGGCUUGCUGGGUCUUUACUGACGCUGAGGCACGAAAGCGUGGGGAGCAAACAGGAUUAGAUACCCUGGUAGUCCACGCUGUAAACGAUGAGUACUAAGUGUCGGGGAAACUCGGUACUGAAGUUAACACAUUAAGUACUCCGCCUGAGUAGUACGUACGCAAGUAUGAAACUUAAAGGAAUUGACGGGACUCCGCACAAGCGGUGGAUCAUGUUGUUUAAUUCGAAGAUACACGAAAAACCUUACCAGGUCUUGACAUACUCUGCAAAGCUAUAGAAAUAUAGUGGGAGGUUAUCAGGGAUACAGGGGGUGCAUGGUUGUCGUCAGUUCGUGUCGUGGAGAUGUUAGGUUAAGUCCUAAAACGAACGCAACCCCCUGUCGUUAGUUGCCAGCACGUAAUGGGUGGGGGACUUUAGCGAGACUGCCAAUUAAACAUUGGAGGAAAGGUGGGGGAUACGUCAAAUCAUCAUGCCCCCUUAUGAUCUGGGCUACAGACGGUGAUACAAUGGCUAUUACAAAGGAGGUAGCUGGAAACGGCGAGUUUUAGCAAUCUCAAAAGGUAGUGCUCAGUACGGAUGAAGUCUGCAAGCUCGACGUGCAUGGAGCCUGAUUCGCUAGUAUCGCGAAUCAGACAUGGUCCGGGUGAAUUACGAUUCCUGGGCGUUGUCUCCCUGCCCCGCGCUAUAGAAC
rnacentral:rRNA from 1 species